rnacentral:misc_RNA from 1 species
UGUGGGAGCGGGCUUGCUCGCGAAUGCGGUCUGUCAGUUAAAUAUGUACUGACUGAUACACCGCUUUCGCGAGCAAGCCCGCUCCCACA